AUCAGUUUGGUUCAAAGUGAAUCAGACGUUCUGUUUGUAUUUGAUGAUAGAUCAAACUGAACUGUUUGGCUGUUUGGGUUCCAUCCAAACGGCCAAACGGCCCACCUCGAAGGUUGCUGUUUGAGGCACAUAAGAGUGUCAUGAAGUGCAGGGUGUGGUGGUGAGGCAGACGCUGUAGACACAGAUGCUGAGUCAGCUGUGUGGAGCAUUUAUUUGUUAUUUUUGCAGAUAUCUGAUGUUUCCUCAUUCAGCUCUUUGUUUACGCCUGUGAAGGAAGAGAUAAAUCUACAGGAUCUCUGUCUGGGGCUGUUUAGAUCAGGUCUCGUAUCUGCAUGCAGUGAACGAAUCAGCUGGUUACAAUUCAGUCAAACGGGUUUAACGGACCGUGGAGCCGGACUCCUUCAGCUGGGUCGGCUGAGAAGUGGCCCGACAGGUGAGAUUCUUUACAGUGUUGAUUUUGGCAGCAGCAGAGAGGAAAAAUGUUUGAGCUUUGAUCCGUGCAGACAACGUGCUGGAAACCCGCAGCUCUUAUUUGUUUUCAGUCUGCAGUGAUUGAUCGCUGACAGUUACAGUAAACGGAGAGGGCGGGGCUUACAGGAAGGGAUAAGAUAAAAAGAAUAUAGAAAAAAAGCAUAUUCAUCCAUUGUGUUUGUUCAAACAGGCUUGAUGUUCUGGAUGCUGAAGCUUCUGGGCCUAUAAUAAAUAAUUCAUAACAAAUAAUUAAUAAAUUAAUAAAUAAGCUGCAGGAUUUUCAUGGAUGCUUUUAUCAGGA